rnacentral:rRNA from 1 species
AUUGAACGCUGGCGGCAGGCCUAACACAUGCAAGUCGAGCGGAGCGGCGGACGGGUGAGUAAUGUAUGGGGAUCUGCCCGAUAGAGGGGGAUAACUACUGGAAACGGUGGCUAAUACCGCAUACUGUCGGAUGAACCCAUAUCGGAUUAGCUGGUUGGUGGGGUAACGGCUCACAGAGGCGACGAUCCGUAGCUGGUUUGAGAGGACGACCAGCCACACGGGGACUGAGACACGGCCCAGACUCCGACGGAAGGAAGCAGUGGGGAAUUUUGGACAAUGGGGGCAACCCUGAUCCAGCCAUCCCGCGUGUGCGAUGAAGGCCUUCGGGUUGUAAAGCACUUUUGGCAGGAAGGCGGUACCUGCAGAAUAAGCACCGGCUAACUACGUGCCAGCAGCCGCGGUAAUUC